rnacentral:rRNA from 1 species
AGUAACGCGUGGAUAACCUGCCUUAUACAGGGGGAUAACAGUCAGAAAUGGCUGCUAAUACCGCAUAAGCGCACAGAGCUGCAUGGCUCAGUGUGAAAAACUCCGGUGGUAUAAGAUGGACCCGCGUUGGAUUAGCUGGUUGGUGGGGUAACGGCCUACCAAGGCGACGAUCCAUAGCCGGCCUGAGAGGGUGAACGGCCACAUUGGGACUGAGACACGGCCCAG